UACAGAGGGUGCGAGCGUUGUUCGGAAUUAUUGGGCGUAAAGGGCGCGUAGGCGGUGCGGUAAGUCACCUGUGAAAUCUCCUGGCUCAACUGGGAGCUUGCAGGCGAAACUGCCGUGCUGGAGUGUGGGAGAGGUGCGUGGAAUUCCCGGUGUAGCGGUGAAAUGCGUAGAUAUCGCUUGGAACGCCAAUGGUGAAAACAGCUCGCUGGGGGUGUGCUGACGCUGAGACACGAAAGCCAGGGGAGCGAACGGG
rnacentral:rRNA from 1 species